GUAGGUGGCAAGCGUUGUCCGGAAUUAUUGGGCGUAAAGCGCGCGCAGGCGGUCCUUUAAGUCUGAUGUGAAAGCCCACGGCUCAACCGUGGAGGGUCAUUGGAAACUGGGGGUCUUGAGUACAGAAGAGGAAAGCGGAAUUCCAAGUGUAGCGGUGAAAUGCGUAGAGAUUUGGAGGAACACCAGUGGCGGAGGCGGCUUUCUGGUCUGUAACUGACGCUGAGGCGCGAAAGCGUGGGGAGCAAACAGGGAUUAGAUACCCUGGUAGUCCACGCCGUAAACGAUGAGUGCUAAGUGUUAGGGGGUUUCCCGCCCCCUUAGUGCUGCAGCUAACGCAUUAAGCACUCCGCCUGGGGAGUACGGCCCGCAAGGCUG
rnacentral:rRNA from 1 species